rnacentral:rRNA from 1 species
GAUGAACGCUGGCGGCGUGCCUAAUACAUGCAAGUCGAGCGAACGGACGAGAAGCUUGCUUCUCUGAUGUUAGCGGCGGACGGGUGAGUAACACGUGGAUAACCUACCUAUAAGACUGGGAUAACUUCGGGAAACCGGAGCUAAUACCGGAUAAUAUUUUGAACCGCAUGGUUCAAAAGUGAAAGACGGUCUUACUGUCACUUAUAGAUGGAUCCGCGCUGCAUUAGCUAGUUGGUAAGGUAACGGCUUACCAAGGCAACGAUACAUAGCCGACCUGAGAGGGUGAUCGGCCACACUGGAACUGAGACACGGUCCAGACUCCUACGGGAGGCAGCAGUAGGGAAUCUUCCGCAAUGGGCGAAAGCCUGACGGAGCAACGCCGCGUGAGUGAUGAAGGUCUUCGGAUCGUAAAACUCUGUUAUUAGGGAAGAACAUAUGUGUAAGUAACUGUGCACAUCUUGACGGUACCUAAUCAGAAAGCCACGGCUAACUACGUGCCAGCAGCCGCGGUAAUACGUAGGUGGCAAGCGUUAUCCGGAAUUAUUGGGCGUAAAGCGCGCGUAGGCGGUUUUUUAAGUCUGAUGUGAAAGCCCACGGCUCAACCGUGGAGGGUCAUUGGAAACUGGAAAACUUGAGUGCAGAAGAGGAAAGUGGAAUUCCAUGUGUAGCGGUGAAAUGCGCAGAGAUAUGGAGGAACACCAGUGGCGAAGGCGACUUUCUGGUCUGUAACUGACGCUGAUGUGCGAAAGCGUGGGGAUCAAACAGGAUUAGAUACCCUGGUAGUCCACGCCGUAAACGAUGAGUGCUAAGUGUUAGGGGGUUUCCGCCCCUUAGUGCUGCAGCUAACGCAUUAAGCACUCCGCCUGGGGAGUACGACCGCAAGGUUGAAACUCAAAGGAAUUGACGGGGACCCGCACAAGCGGUGGAGCAUGUGGUUUAAUUCGAAGCAACGCGAAGAACCUUACCAAAUCUUGACAUCCUUUGACAACUCUAGAGAUAGAGCUUUCCCCUUCGGGGGACAAAGUGACAGGUGGUGCAUGGUUGUCGUCAGCUCGUGUCGUGAGAUGUUGGGUUAAGUCCCGCAACGAGCGCAACCCUUAAGCUUAGUUGCCAUCAUUAAGUUGGGCACUCUAAGUUGACUGCCGGUGACAAACCGGAGGAAGGUGGGGAUGACGUCAAAUCAUCAUGCCCCUUAUGAUUUGGGCUACACACGUGCUACAAUGGACAAUACAAAGGGCAGCGAAACCGCGAGGUCAAGCAAAUCCCAUAAAGUUGUUCUCAGUUCGGAUUGUAGUCUGCAACUCGACUACAUGAAGCUGGAAUCGCUAGUAAUCGUAGAUCAGCAUGCUACGGUGAAUAAGUUCCCGGGUCU